rnacentral:lncRNA from 1 species
CCUAAUGCUGAUUAAAGGAAGAGUUCAGUUUAGGGUUUAAAACCCUAAUGCUGACUAAAAGGAAAAGUUCAGUUUAGGGUUUAAAACCCUAAUGCUGACUGAAAGGAAAAAUUCAGUUUAGGGUUUAAAAACCCUAAUGCUGACUAAAUGGAAAAAGUUCAGUUUAGGGUUUAAAACCCUAAUGCUGACUAAAGGAAAAAGUUCAGUUUAGGGUUUAAAGCCCUAAUGCUGAUUAAAAGAAAAAGUUCAGUUUAGGGUUUAAAACCCUAAUGCUGAUUAAAGGAAAAAGUUCCGUUUAGGGUUUAAAACCCUAAAGCUUACUGAAUGGCAAAGUUCAGUUUAAAGUUUAAAACUCUAAUGCUGACUGACUGGAAAAAGUUCAGUUUAAAGUUUAAAACCCUAAUGCUGACUGGAAGGAAAAAGUUCAGUUUAGGGUUUAAAACCCUAAUGCUGACUGAAAGGAAAAGUUCAGUUUAGGGUUUAAAACCCUAAUGCUGAUUAAAAGAAAAAGUUCAGUUUAGGGUUUAAAACCCUAAUGCUGAUUAAAAGAAAAGUUCAGUUUAGGGUUUAAAACCCUAAUGCUGAUUAAAAGAAAAAGUUCAGUUUAGGGUUUAGAACCCUAAUGCUGAUUAAAGGAAAAAGUUCAGUUUAGGGUUUAAAACCCUAAAGCUGACUGAAUGGAAAAGUUCAGUUUAGGGUUUAAAACCCUAAUGCAGACUGGCUGGGGACAAAGUUCGAGAAU